rnacentral:rRNA from 1 species
AACGCGAAGAACCUUACCUGGGCUCGAAGCACAGUGGACCGGGGUAGAAAUAUCCCUUUUCGCAAGAACUGCUGUGGAGGUGCUGCAUGGCUGUCGUCAGCUCGUGUCGUGAGAUGUUGGGUUAAGUCCCGCAACGAGCGCAACCCUUAUCGUUAGUUGCCAUCGGGUUAAGCUGGGCACUCUAAAGAGACUGCCGGUGACAAACCGGAGGAAGGUGGGGAUGACGUCAAGUCCUCAUGGCCUUUAUAUCCAGGGCUACACACGUGCUACAAUGGUCGGUACAAAGGGCUGCGAACCCGCGAGGGGGAGCUAAUCCCAAAAAGCCGGCCUCAGUUCGGAUUGGAGUCUGCAACUCGACUCCAUGAAGCUGGAAUUGCUAGUAAUCGCGGAUCAGAACGCCGCGGUGAAUACGUUCCCGGGCCUUGUACACACCGACUGUAC